rnacentral:rRNA from 1 species
AGUGAACGCUGGCGGUAGGCCUAACACAUGCAAGUCGAACGGCAGCACAGUAAGAGCUUGCUCUUACGGGUGGCGGGUGGCGGACGGGUGAGGAAUAGAUCGGAAUCUACUUUUUCGUGGGGGAUAACGUAGGGAAACUUACGCUAAUACCGCAUACGACCUACGGGUGAAAGCAGGGGAUCUUCGGACCUUGCGCGAUUGAAUGAGCCGAUGUCGGAUUAGCUAGUUGGCGGGGUAAAGGCCCACCAAGGCGACGAUCCGUAGCGGGCCUGAGAGGAUGAUCAGCCACACUGGAACUGAGACACGGUCCAGACUCCUACGGGAGGCAGCAGUGGGGAAUAUUGGACAAUGGGCGCAAGCCUGAUCCAGCCAUACCGCGUGGGUGAAGAAGGCCUUCGGGUUGUAAAGCCCUUUUGUUGGGAAAGAAAAGCAGCAGGUUAAUACCCCGCUGUUCUGACGGUACCCAAAGAAUAAGCACCGGCUAACUUCGUG